rnacentral:rRNA from 1 species
GUAGGGGGCAAGCGUUAUCCGGAUUUACUGGGUGUAAAGGGAGCGUAGACGGCAGGGCAAGUCUGAAGUGAAAGCCCGGGGCCCAACCCCGGGACUGCUUUGGAAACUGUCCGGCUGGAGUGCAGGAGGGGUGGGCGGAAUUCCUAGUGUAGCGGUGAAAUGCGUAGAUAUUAGGAGGAACACCGGCGGCGAAGGCGGCCCACUGGACUGUAACUGACGUUGAGGCUCGAAAGCGUGGGGAGCAAA